rnacentral:ncRNA from 2 species
AGACUUCGCCGGCUUUCAGGUGACCUGUGGACACUCCCGUCCGCAGGUUGAAACGGGAAGCCGGUGACCUCCAUCACGUCCUCAUGGACCGGGGAUGGAGCAUUCCGGCGCUGCCCCCGCAACGGUAAGCGAGACGAGUCGAAGCACGUCGCCACUGUGCACUGCACGGGAAGGCGCUUCGGCGGCAACGGCACGACCGUUGCGCUCGCGAGUCCGGAGACCGGCCUGGAAGUCGACUGGUUG